rnacentral:rRNA from 1 species
AUUGAACGCUGGCGGCAUGCUUUACACAUGCCAGUCGAACGGCAGCGCGGGCUUCGGCCUGGCGGCGAGUGGCGAACGGGUGAGUAAUACAUCGGAACGUGCCCAGUAGUGGGGGAUAGCUCGGCGAAAGCCGGAUUAAUACCGCAUACGACCUGAGGGUGAAAGCGGGGGAUCUUCGGACCUCGCGCUAUUGGAGCGGCCGAUGGCAGAUUAGCUAGUUGGUGGGGUAAAGGCUUACCAAGGCGACGAUCUGUAGCUGGUCUGAGAGGACGACCAGCCACACUGGGACUGAGACACGGCCCAGACUCCUACGGGAGGCAGCAGUGGGGAAUUUUGGACAAUGGGCGAAAGCCUGAUCCAGCAAUGCCGCGUGUGUGAUGAAGGCCUUCGGGUUGUAAAGCACUUUUGGCGGGAACGAAAAGGACUGUGCCAAUACCACGGUUCGAUGACGGUACCCGCAGAAUAAGCACCGGCUAACUACGUG